rnacentral:rRNA from 1 species
AUUGAACGCUGGCGGCAGGCUUAACACAUGCAAGUCGAGCGGGGGAAGGUAGCUUGCUACCGGACCUAGCGGCGGACGGGUGAGUAAUGCUUAGGAAUCUGCCUAUUAGUGGGGGAUAACAUCUCGAAAGGGAUGCUAAUACCGCAUACGUCCUACGGGAGAAAGCAGGGGAUCUUCGGACCUUGCGCUAAUAGGUGAGCCUAAGUCGGAUUAGCUAGUUGGUGGGGUAAAGGCCUACCAAGGCGACGAUCUGUAGCGGGUCUGAGAGGAUGAUACGCCACACGGGGACUGAGACACAGCCCGGACUCCUACGGGAGGCAGCAGUGGGGAAUAUUGGACAAUGGGGGGAACCCUGAUCCAGCCAUGCCGCGUGUGUGAAGAAGGCCUUAUGGUUGUAAAGCACUUUAAGCGAGGAGGAGGCUACUUUAGUUAAUACCUAGAGAUAGUGGACGUUACUCGCAGAAUAAGCACCGGCUAACUCUGUGCCAGCCGCCGCCGUAA